UAAUGGGAAAUUUAAGAGCAUAUGGUGGAUGCCUUGGCUCUGAGAGACGAUGAAGGACGUGACGUGGCGACGAUACGCUUCGGGAAGGUGCCUCGUGACCGUUGAUCCGAAGAUGUCCGAAUGGGGAAACCCUCUCAUUUUUUAAUGAGAAUCUUCAUACUAGAUAUGAAGAAGUUAACCUGGGGAAGUAAAACAUUUCAGUACCCAGUGGAAAAUAAACUAAAUAAAGUAUUCCGUAAGUAGCGGCGAGCGAAAGCGGAGAAGCCCAAACUCGUCUUUAAUCGUAAGGUGCAAUUCAUUGUGCCGUGCGAUUAAAGACGGGGGUUGUAAGAUGAAAACGUGCCAUUUAUGGCAGAAAAGUUAAAAAAUAUAUUGAUAAUUGAAGUAGUUGGAAAGCUACGCCCUAGAAGGUAAUGGCCCUGUAAAUGAAAUCAAUGUAUCUUUUUUGUUUUUAUUCUUGAGUACCUCAAGACACGAAUAGCUUGAGGGAAUCUAGCGGAACUAACCGCUAAGGCUAAAUACUCUUGGAGACCGAUAGUGAACUAGUACCGUGAGGGAAAGGUGAAAAGUAGCCCGGUAAGGGCAGUGAAAUAGACCUGAAACCAUAUGCUUACAAGGAGUCGGAGCGGUUUACACAAUGAACGCGAUUUUGUGUAUCGUAUUUAUUGUGUAGACCGUCACGGCGUGCCUAUUGAAGAAUGAGCCAACGAGUGGAUGCGUGCUGCAGGCUAAGCCCUUGACUGGGUGGAGCCAUAGGGAAACCGAGUGUGAACAGCGCGUUCGUAGUACGCAUCAGACCCGAAGCCAGGUGAGCUUGUCGCGAGCAGGAUGAACAUCGGAGAAAUCCGAUGGGAGGUCCGAACGGUAGAGUUGUGCAAUGCUCUCCGAUGACUUGCGAUAAGGAGUGAAAAGCUAAUCGAACCUGGUAAUAGCUGGUUUUCUCCGAAAUAGCUUUAGGGCUAGCGUUAGAUUUACCCUCGAGGGGUAGAGCACUGGAAGGUUCUGACAGGGCGAAAGCUCACAGAACCUAUCAAACUCCGAAUACUCGAGAUUAACUAUCUAGCAGUUAGACGGUGGGGGCUAAGCUCCAUGCGUCAAAAAGGGAAGAGCCUAGAUCUCAAUUUAAGGUCCCUAAAUUUACACUAAGUGCGCUUAAGGUGGUAAGAUUUUUCAAACAAUGAGGAUGUUGGCUUAGAAGCAGCCAUCAUUUAAAGAAAGCGUAACAGCUCACUCAUCGAGAGAUUUUGCGCCGCAGAUAAUCGGGGCUAAGUGUAAUACCGAAACUGAGGGUUUAUAGAUAUUUCGAUAUAUAUAAGCGGUAGGAGAAUUUUCUACUCUGCGUUGAAGGUAAAGGGGUGACCCAUACUGGAGCGUGUAGAAGUAAGAAUGUUGGCACAAGUAACCACAAUGCGGGUGAGAUACCCGCACGCCGAAAGACCAAGGUUUCCUUCGCGAUGAAGAUCAGCGAAGGGUUAGUCGGGCCUAAGUGUAUGACAAAAGUCGCACACGACGGACACACGGUUAAUAUUCCGUGACUUUUAUGUAAAAUGAUGGGAGGACGGAGUGCUGUAUUUAUAGCUCAUAAUUGGAUUUGAGUUUGUGCCAUGAAGGUGUACCCCAGGUAAAUCCGGGGGCUGGUUUAAAUACCGAAUCUAAGUGGAGCAGAAAUCUCGGGGUACGCCCCGAGGGAUUAUAAAAAGCGCGCUCUCGAGAAAAUUCCCUAAGUUUAUUUAUAUAAAAACCGUACCGCAAACCGACACAGGUGGUCAGUUCGAGUAGAACAAGGCGAACGAGUGAGAGGUCUCCAAGGAACUCGGCAAAAAAGCAGCCGUAACUUCGGGAUAAGGCUUGCCUCUAGCAAUAGAGGCCGCAGCUAAAGUAUGCUUGGCAACUGUUUAUCAAAAACACAGCUCCCUGCGAACUCGAAAGAGGAUGUAUAGGGGGUGACACUUGACCAAUGCCAGAAGGUCAACCAUUGACGUUCUUAUCCGUAAGGGUAAGGGUGAUCGAUGUAAGCCCUGGUGAAUGUCGGCGAUAACUAUAAUCGUCCUAAGGUUUACCACGUUUUUCAUAUAAUGUCAAGCGUGGUGAAGGACUAGGACGAUUACAGAUAACGAUUUUGAUAAACUAAAUAGUGAACUAGACAACGCAGUGUGAAGAUUAAGACGCUGCCUAUCUAUGAGAUAUGGAUGUCCUUAAAAACAUCUGACCAUAUGCUGGAAAAUCCGGUGUAUCUGACAGUACUUUUUGCAAAAAAAGUAAUAAUCUGCUCAGUGCGGACAAUCAGCAGGAAAGAUUUCUUGUAUUUUUACAAGAAAAAUCCUCAGAAACCAAAAGUCAGACUAGUUAGUAAAUAACUAGAAGUUAGAGUUCGUACUGCAUAGCGAUAUGAAGACUAACAAAAUAUAGCGCAAUUCCUUGUCGGGUAAGUUCCGACGCGUUGAAUAGUGCAAUGCCUGAGCAACUGUCUCGGAGACUCGCUCGGUGAAAAUACAGUACCGGUGAAGAUGCCGGUUACCUGCAGUUAGACGAAAAGACCCUAGAAGCUUUACUGUAGUUUUAUAUUGCUCAUAUGUUUUUUCUGCGUAGCGUAGAUGGGAGGAUUUGAAGUUUACCUUUCGGGGUAAGUGGAUCCGUCAGUGAAAUACCAUUCUGAAGAAAUAUAUGUUCUAACCUUUGCCGAAAAACGGCAGAGAGACAGUAUAUGAUGGGCAGUUUUAGUGGGGCGCUACCCUUAACGAAGCGCACCCGUUUUAAGCCGGAUUUCCGUUCUGGUCAAAUAAUAAAUUAGGGGGGCAUUAUUUCACAAAAAAUAAUGAAAAAUUAGCUAUAUGCUGGAACAUCUGUGCCUUUAACGGCUUAGAGUAUGCAUUACCAAAGUGUAAAAAUAUGCAUAUGCAGACAAUCAGCAGGAAAGGUUUGCUCACUCUUUAUCUUAUAAAGAGUGAGCAAAAAUCCUCAGAGACUACACGCUAAUCUCCACAAAAGGUGGAUGAUGAUAUAGUCCGAUCUCAUGGGCGACCAUGAGAGCACAACAGAAAUGUGUGUGCCAUGAUUUCAGUUUUUUGCCUUAGAAAAGCAUAAGUCUGAAUGAUAUGUAACAUAAGCCUAAAAAGUAACGGAGGGGUUUAAAGGUCAGCUAGGCGCGAAUGGACACCGUGCCGAUAGUGUAUAGGCAUAAGCUGGCUUGACUGAAAGACGUACAUGUCGAUCAGACGCGAAAGCGGGACUAAGUGAACCGAUCACUCGCAUUAGAUGCGGUGAAAGAUUAACGGAUAUAAGCUACUCUAGGGAUAACAGGCUAGUUGCGCCUAAGCGUUCAUAGCGACGGCGCAGUUCGGCACCUCGAUAAACACCGAAUGUCGAGGUUAAUAAAUCAGCUCAUAACGGAGAAAGCCAUAAUCGCGGAGGUGUAUCUGAAAUGAUAUACUUUGAUCUAUGGUC
rnacentral:rRNA from 1 species